UCUGACAAGUGAGACUGCCAUUUUCAAAAAUAGUUUACUACCUCGAUUUUCUAAUAACUCGAGGCAUAAAAAUGCCUUACUACCUCGUUUGCUAAUCACCCGAGGCAUAAAAGCAUCCAGACCUACCAAAAAAAUCUUAUGACGCGACCAAUGUUUUUCUUCCUCCUUGAGCGAACAGGCAUCGUCUUCCUCCACGAGCUUUCUUCUUCCUCCACAACACAAAUAGUAUUUUUUUUCAUCCUCUUCCUCUUCUCUGUUCGACACCGCGUUGGAUCCACGUUACGCAAGGGAGCGAGAUUUCUUUUCUCCUUCUUCGUCUUGAUUCUUUUCUCACAGAGAGACCCAACUUUGGGGCAACACCAGGGGUCUUACGCAAGCCAAAUAGGGUUUUCUCUUUCGUGUUGCCGAGAGGGAGGCUUCGUUCCUCUUCUCGGGAACAAGGCUUGGGAAACGGCGUGGCUGCCGGAGGACUUAACACCGAAGACGCGAGCUCCAUGGGAAAGCGGCGUCAACUUCCCUUCCUCAUCUUCCUCCCCCGCAAUGGCGGUUGACGCCGUGGCCGAGGCCGACGAGGAGACGAAAGCGUUCGUGACGGAGAUGAACGAGAAUUGGAACGAGCGGCGAAGAGGAUCGAAGGAGAAGGAGAAGAGGAAAGAAAAUGGCACGCUUUACAGCGUGGAGAAUAUGAAGAAGGAUUAUCGUUGAAGAAGCAGAGGUUGCACGCUGGACUGUGGUUGAAGGAGAUUGAGAAACUCGAGGAGGCAAAAUUGGUCGAUUCUGACAUUGCUGCUGGCGAUGACAUUCAGAGAUUGAUUGAUAGUUGCUCCGAGACGGAGCGGUGGAUGUUGUGAGUUGCAGUGAAAAUAUUAUUUGAUGUUUGCUAUUCUACAGUCCAGUCCAGUGGUUAAGUGACUAAUAAUAGAUGGUUCUGCAGAUUUUGGUUUGAAUCCCAAAGCUAGUGAUUCUUUCUCUCUCUUAUUGUCCCUUUAUUACUAUCAAGGGAAUUAUUUCGGCGAAUGAGUUCUUAUCUACCCUGAGUUUUGCCAUGAUUCCCCUUUCUCAAGUGCUCACUUUUUUCGCUUCAUGGUCCAAAUAUUUAUUCUUAUUUGUUUCGUGGUUUUUGUACUUUCUUUUCCCAUUACCUGUUUUCCCAUUGUUGAUGGACUUUGUGCUUGUUUGCAGAGGCUGCUCAAGAUGGUUGACGAUUUGAGUUUUAAAGACUUUGUGACCCUCAUAUACAUUUAGUGCCAAAGCUAAUGCACAACAUAAAAUAGAGCGUACGUUUUAAUUACAUGGAGAGGGGUGAAGGAGGGGGCGAGGUCGGAUGGAUCAGUUUUGUGAAUGUUCUGUUUGCGUGUAGUCAUCAUUCGAUUUGGGCGGUUUUGCUUUGAGCUUUCAAUAUCACAGCUGAACAUGUAGCGAAAAAGAAAAAAUCACUCUAUUGCCUCGGUUGGAUUUGAACCAAGGCAUAAGCACGCACCCCUCUACUGCCUCGAUUGGAUUUGAACUGAGGCAUAAGCACACAUCUUUUUGCCUCGGUUCAGAACCGAGGCAAAAGGCUUACCUUUUUUUACCUCGUUUGUAUAUGCCUCGGUUGCGGAACCGCUGCGUAUAAGCGAAAAAUAACCGUUGUCGUUUUCUCUUA